UAGAUUUGGCUGGUGCAUCCUGGAAAGAGU
rnacentral:piRNA from 1 species